rnacentral:rRNA from 1 species
AGAUCGAAUGGGGAGAUUCAUCGUCAACAGCGCUGGCUCCCGUUGGUGCGCGAUGCCCCGAAUGGGCCCUUGUGGUUCCACGGCGAGGGCACGCCACCUUCGGCUUGAAUGUUCCGGUGCCGUAGUCGUGCACUUCUCCCCUAGUAGAACGUCGCGACCCGUUGUGUGUCGGUCUACGGCCCGAGAGGGCGCCUGUCGCGUCGCCUUGUGCGCACUCGUCAGACCCUCGGUCGCCCGGCCGGCUACACGACGGUACUCGCACGGUAUCGGGCCGCAACCAAUCCAUUCUCGAAUGGCGUUUGCGUCAGGUCCGCCGCAAGCUCGGUUAGUUCUUACCCGGUGGUACGGACCUCGUGCCGUCCCCGGGCCUAACCAGCUGUUAGCAGGCGGUGUCCUCGGACUGGCCAAGCUUCGAAUUACCGGUCGGCGACGCUAUUGCUUUGGGUACUCUCAGGACCCGUCUUGAAACACGGACCAAGGAGUCUAACAUGUGCGCGAGUCAUUGGGAUGCACAAACCUAAAGGCGAAAUGAAAGUGAAGGUCGUCCAUAGCGUCGACCGAGGGAGGAUGGGCCGCGUAACCAGGCGGCCUCGCACUCCCGGGGCGUCUCGUUCUCAUCGCGAGAAGAGGCGCACCCAGAGCGUACACGUUGGGACCCGAAAGAUGGUGAACUAUGCCUGGUCAGGACGAAGUCAGGGGAAACCCUGAUGGAGGUCCGUAGCGAUUCUGACGUGCAAAUCGAUCGUCGGAACUGGGUAUAGGGGCGAAAGACUAAUCGAACCAUCUAGUAGCUGGUUCCCUCCGAAGUUUCCCUCAGGAUAGCUGGCACUCGCUAGAACGCGGUGCGAGUCUCAUCUGGUAAAGCGAAUGAUUAGAGGCCUUGGGGCCGAAACGACCUCAACCUAUUCUCAAACUUUAAAUGGGUGAGAUCUCUGGCUUGCUUGAACAGUGAAGCCAUGAGAUUUUGGAUCAGAGUGCCAAGUGGGCCAAUUUUGGUAAGCAGAACUGGCGCUGUGGGAUGAACCAAACGCAGAGUUAAGGCGCCUAAGUCGACGCUUAUGGGAUACCAUGAAAGGCGU